GGUGCCAUACCGGUAGAGUGCGGUGCUGACCUGCAGGGGAAUCCGGUGCCAAUCCGGAGCUGACGCGCAGCGGUGUGAGGCAUGGCCUCGAGCCCGAAUGCCUGCGGUCGUGCAAUCGUCGAC
rnacentral:ncRNA from 2 species